AGCUGUUGCUAUAAUUACUCUACAGGACCUGCAGUUAUGUGUGUAACCAAGCUAGACAGACAAUAUGUGCGUCUCUGGCAGUAUUUGACGAGAAUUACUUGUCUAUGCAGUAGUUACUGAACGACCGGAUUCAUUCACUUGUCAAGUUUCAACCUUUGAAAUCUAUAAGUCAAAGACUCGAAUCAUGCGACGACAAGUUGCACUGGUUUUGGUAAGCUUCAUUAGUUAAAUUUUGCAUAUCUCUAUUUUGUUUUGCAUGAAGAAAACAGAUCACUUAUCUUUAAAGAUUUUAAAUAUACGCCACUCGCCGUAGGAAUGUUUUAGGCUACAUUACAAGUAUAAACUUGGGCAGAAUAAAAACAAAUAUUCUUUUUGCUAAAUCUUUUGAAUCUACACAUUACAAGUCUGCUGCAGGUUUGUUACAACUUGUGGGUUUUUAUACGUGUGUAAAAAGAAAACCAUUCUGUUUGCUUGCCUGUAUGUAACUAUAGGGGCGCGUAUCAAUUUAUUAUUUUGAAGACUGAUAAUAUUUUAUUACUUUUUUAAGGCCAUUGCCGUUAUGGUACGAAAAACUGCAUCUGAGGAAGGU